rnacentral:lncRNA from 1 species
GCUUUCUAGGAUAAGAACACAACAGUAACAGCACAACAAUCGACCUCUUGGUGAUCAAUGCUCUUGAAACGCUAAUAGACCUUCUUUCAAAAUAAUGCAUAAUGCAGCAUUCUUAAUUGUUAAUGCAGCAAAAGGCAAGACUAAAGAGGGCUGGGGAAAAAUUCUUUAACGUGCAACUGAGUUAGCCCCUAAGGCCCAGACAAAAAAAUGUGACCUAAAUGUAUCGUUACCAGGUAUUAUUUAAUAUUUAUAUAGUGCCUCAAAUGGAUCCAGCCCAACAUCAGAGUGUGCCAGAGAAAUAAAAGCCUGAGCCCUAAGGAGUUUAUCAUCUGCAAGCAAAGUCGAUCCAAAUCAGAACACCCACGGAGGAAUGAGUUGAGUGAGGGAUGAUUUGACCAAAAAACGCAUUGCCAAGUGUAAAGCGGCACCAAGAACAGGCGCCAGGCUCCAUCUGCUGUGAAAAGGAGCUUAUUCUUCGUGAAGAUGCCCAUUGCAUUACGGGGGCAGCUUGGAUCUUAUUCUAAGUGUCUCAAGCUUCUAUCAGCUCAUGGAUCCACACAUCUGUGUAUCUCACUGUCGGUGUGGUGUUUGAUUUUCUGGUGGCCAUGGAACUCUCCGUUGUAAAGAAAAACAUCUUCUCUCAGCAAGUAGGCAAAACUACCAGCAAGUGUGAGCUGCUGGUGUACAGCAAGUGUGAAAUGCAGCAAAGACUCACAGACCUCAGAGUUUGGUCCACUGGACCCAGGCCCACUGCUGGAUAAAAGGUGCAGCACCCACUGGCCACUUCCACGGUUUACAUCUUGCUUCAAGGCCUUGUGCCCGAUCAGCUGAGCCCCUGUGCCAACCCUCAGUCUAAUUACAGGAGUAAGAACAACCCUACUACCAUGAGGACACAAUGAGCCUAAUCCAGAAAGUGUGGACAUCCUGCAAGACAAUCCCUCUGGCAGGCAAUAAGUCAAUGACAAGUGGAGGAAAAGAAAAAAAAAAGAGGCUGAGGCAGGCGGAUCACUUGAGGUUAGAAGCUGCUAAGACAAAUACGAGAUCUUCUGAGCGUGCCAGCCCAUCCAUCUGCACCAGUAACUCUGUCUUCAUCCGCAGGCU